CAAAAGAUAGUUUAAAAAAAAUAUUAAUUUUGGAGAUUAAAGAUAAGUUUAUUUCUUUUGA
rnacentral:tRNA from 1 species